CACNGCGAAGCUAAGAGCAUUAACCUUUUAAGUUAAAGUUAGAGACAGAAGUCUCCACAGUGA
rnacentral:tRNA from 1 species